AGACCAAAUAUUGGCAAAAGAAUCAUAAUUGUUACUGGGAUAUACAUAAAUAUUAUUGGAAUGAUUGUUUGGAUCACUAAAGUUUUGAAAAGUUGUUUUUGCAGUUCUUUG
ensembl:ncRNA F44G3.18 ncRNA